UGACCUACGGCGACGCAGAUGGGAUCGCUUCCGCCAUGUUGGAUGGAGCUCAUGUAGCAUUAGUAGUAGUGUAGCGUUGAUGCCUGUAAAAGUUCAAUUUUUUAAAGUUUUGAGUGAGUUUAGGGUUAUUUAUUGAUAAUAAUAGUACCAUGGCUUCGUGUGCUUUUCUUCUGUGUACAAAUAACAAACGAAAGAACCAGAAAAACUCCAGGGGAUAACAUUUCAUAGUUUUCCCAAAGAUGUUGAAAGGAGAAAGGCUUGGGUACAGUUUGUACACAGAGAGAAUUGGGAACCAGCCACCAGUAGCAAAUUGUGUACGAAACAUUUUGCCGAGAGGGAUGUAGAUCGGACUUCAUUAGUUUGUAUUCGUUUGCGAGAAAACGCAGUCCCUACAAUUGGUGAAUCUCAGAGAUAGAUACUAUCUGCAGUCAUUUAUUAAUAAUAAAUGAAUAAUUUUAGUGUGAUGGAUACUACAAUUCAUUGGGUAAUGUUUUUUGAUUCUCCCCAGAGUAACACCUGAAAAUUAUUUUGAUACUUUGAAAUUUUUUAUGAUUAUUAAUUUAAACUAACUACAGUGGAACCUCGAUUAUCCGUCUCUCCAUUAACCGUCACCUCUGUUAACCGUCAGGGUAGGUACAUAUAGAAGUUUUAUUGACUACAUAAGCAAAAACUUUAAUGUAAACAAAUAAAAAAAGUUAAUUUGAUUUGUGAUGAGGACACAAACGGCUAUCCAUUGCUGACAGAUAAAGAAAUCGUUGAAAUGGCAAUAAAUGUGGACCAAACAGAUUCAGAAGCUGAUAGACUUGGAAUUUGACUGUAGCCAUGUUGAUGAACCUAUUGUAACUGACAAAGGUUUGCGUAAAUAAUCUAGAGAAGCUGUAUCACAUAUGCAAUAAUUCAUCGAGUGGAAUUCUCAACAAGAAGAAGCCAAUAAAGUAGAUUGCAUGAUCUGAUGCUGAUUAAGAAAUUCAGCCGUCGCAAAAUGUGAAGCAACAGUAAGAGAAACAAAGAUUUCAGAAUAUUUUAAAUUGAUUCGAUUUUACGAACACAAAUCCCUCUUAUAUUGUCAAACAAACCAUACAAAUGAAAUUUGAGAGUUGUACCAUGAAUUUUCAUUUUUUUUAAUGUUCUGUUAACCGUCUUUUCGAUUAUCCGUCAUACUCUUGGUCCGGUGCCCUGACGGAUAAUCGAGGUUCUGCUGUAUAUUCAUUGACUUAACUACUGAACGAUUACUACUGCAUAAUAUGCAGUAGUAUAUCAUAGUAUAUAAUAAUAUAUUAUAUUAUUUCCUGGUUAGAACUUUCUGUUCUUGUUUUCUUUAUUUCUUGUUAAAAUUAAUUUAUAAAAACCAAAAGGAGCUUCAAAAAUAAAACAUUUUUAUUCAUCAGAUCACCUUAUUCUUUUGGGGUAAGUGUCUAGUGUACUAAUUGUACACUGUACAAAUUUUCCUAAGCCUGUAUUAAUUUUUUAUAACCAUUUUUUUAUAUACCUAACCUCGCAUCUUCUAAAAGCAUGUGUUCUGAUAUUUUAAUUUUAAAUAUUUCUUUUUUGACUUACAUAUAUGCACGUGGUUAAUCAGAUAAUUUUAACUAAAUAGUAAGAAUUAAUAAUAAUUCCAUUUAAUGUAUUUUUGUCAUCUGCUACUCUUUCUGAUUAUUUCUUAAAAAUGGCAGACUUGGCAUACUUUGGUUUCUCUACUUCUUGAUGUCUGAUAUGUAUUUUAUUUUCUAGUUUUUGGAAAAAAUCAAUAUUUCCUCCCUUCGGGAGCCUCCAGCCUCAUACAUCACUGGUGGUGCUACUUCAAGGCAAAAAGGAACAGGAUGCAUCCAACAGAGAGCAGCACCCAACAUCUCUAGUUGCAGCGACCUGAGGCCACAACAUCUGCCCAGGUCUACAAGUCUACAGCAGUACCAUUCGACAUCAAGGAGUUACCAUCGAACCAAUACCAACAGCUAUAAGUAUAAUCUAAAAAUUGUUAGUUUUUGGCAAGGAUUUGAAUAUAUUAUGUUAUUGAAUUUAAUAAGUCAUUAUUUUAAUUAUAUCUUUAUUGAAUAAUAAACAUGAUUAGUUAAAAUA